UACGUAGGGGGCAAGCGUUGUCCGGAAUCAUUGGGCGUAAAGCGCGUGUAGGCGGCUAGGUAAGUCUGCUCUGAAAGCCCGGGGCUCAACCCCGGGAGGCGGGUGGAUACUGUCUAGCUCGAGUCCGGAAGAGGAGUGUGGAAUUCCUGGUGUAGCGGUGAAAUGCGCAGAUAUCAGGAGGAACACCAAUGGCGAAGGCAGCACUCUGGGACGUGACUGACGCUGAGACGCGAAAGCGUGGGGAGCAAACAGG
rnacentral:rRNA from 2 species